GGCACUGCUAUUGGGAUUCGACUAAGCCAUGCGAGUGGAGGGCGCGAUCGCGAGAUCGUGGCCCCGCAAAAGGCUCAGUAACACGUAGUUAAUCUACCCUCGAGUCGGGGACAAUCACGGGAAACUGUGGAUAAUCCCCGAUAGGUGAGAAUCACUGGAAUGUUUUCUCACUCAAAGCCCAGGCGCUCGAGGACGGGACUGCGACCUAUCAGGCAGUUGGUGGUGUAACGGACCACCAAACCAACGACGGGUACGGGCGAUGGGAGUCGGAGCCCGGAGAUGGGGACUGAGACAAGGCCCCAGGCCCUACGGGGCGCAGCAGGCGCGAAAACUCCGCAAUGCGCGCAAGCGUGACGGGGGAAUCCCAAGUGCCGAUGGCUUUGAUCGUCGGCUUUUCGGGAGUGUAAGGAGCUCCCGGAAUAAGGGCUGGGUAAGACUGGUGCCAGCCGCCGCGGUAAUACCAGCAGCCCGAGUGGUGGCCGGGUUAUUGGGUCUAAAGCGCUCGUAGCCUGGCUGAUAAGUCCUUUGUGAAAUCGGACGGCUCAACCGUUCGGCUUGCAAGGGAUACUGUCAGUCUCGAGGCCGGGAAAGGUCGGGAGUACUUUGGGGGUAGUAGUGAAAUGCUGUAAUCCUCAAAGGACUACCAGUGGCGAAGGCGCCCGACUGGAACGGACCUAACGGUGAGGGGCGAAAGCUUGGGGAGCGAACGGGAUUAGAUACCCCGGUAGUCCAAGCCGUAAAGCAUGCGGGUCAGGUGUUUGGCAUUCUUCGAGGGUGUCAAGUGCCGAAGGGAAGCCGUUAAGCCCGCCGCCUGGGAAGUACAGUCGCAAGGCCGAAACUUAAAGAAAUUGGCGGGGGAGCACCACAAGGGGUGGAGCCUGCGGUUUA
rnacentral:rRNA from 1 species